rnacentral:SRP_RNA from 2 species
GCUAGGUGUGGUGGCUCAUGCCUGUAAUCCCAGCACUUUGGGAGGCUGAGGUGGGUGGAUCACCUGAGGUCAGGAGUUCGAGACCAGCCUGACCAACAUGGUGAAACCCCAUCUCUA